rnacentral:rRNA from 1 species
CACGUGGGGUGCGGGCGUUGUCCGGAAUUAUUGGGCGUAAAGAGCUCGUAGGCGGUGUGUCGCGUCGGCCGUGAAAACCUGCAGCUUAACUGUGGGCUUGCGGUCGAUACGGGCAUCACUGGAGUUCGGCAGGGGAGACUGGAAUUCCUGGUGUAGCGGUGAAAUGCGCAGAUAUCAGGAGGAACACCGGUGGCGAAGGCGGGUCUCUGGGCCGAUACUGACGCUGAGGAGCGAAAGCGUGGGGAGCGAACAGG